GAGACAGAGCAUGAACAGGGGAGGGUCAGAGAGAGGGAGACACAGAAUCUGAAACAGGCUCCAGGCUCUGAGCUGUCAGCACAGAGCCCGACGCGGGGCUCGAACUCACAGACCGCGAGAUCAUGACCUGAGCCGAAGUCGGCCGCUUAACCGACUGAGCCACCCAGGCGCCCCUCAGGACGCCAUUAUUGUCCACUUCCUCCACAGUAUGAAGAGCUACAAUUCCUCUCCAUGGCCAAGACCGAGGUGCGAACAGGCUAGAUUCGAAGACCUGGCAUGGAUCCCUGUGGCUGCUCUGCUCAGGACUGGCCUGAAUGGGUCCAUGACAGCACAGCAGAGAUGGGGAAGGGAAAUGAUGCCUACUGCAGACAGGAAGUGAUGUUCGCUCGAACCAAAGAGAGUGGGCAUUUAUUUUGGACACAUUAUGAGGAUAAAACAAACAGGAUUUUUCUCCGAGAUAAUGGGUGUGGUGUGUGGGGGAAAAAGAGAGAGCCAAGAAGGGUCUGGAGAGGGAGGGUUGCUCUCUGUGUUUCUCUGCAUUGCUCCUGGAGAGGGCAUCUCCGACUUCCCUCCUGUAUCAGCUUCUGAGGGCCGUUGUCACAAAGGACACACUCUCAGUGUCUUAAAACAAAGGAAAUGUAAUCAAUCCCUCACAAGGAGGCCAGAAAGCUGUGUGAGGAAUGAAGCACAUUUCUUCCCUCUGCCCUGCUAAGUUCUCCCCUGGGACCUGUAACACAGGACAGGUGAAGAACAGAAAAGCAUGAAAGUGUAUUUAAUAUGAGAUUUAUGUGGCACAGGAGCCCUCAUAAGGAAAUGAAGACCCAAAUAAAUGGUUAAAUCUCA